rnacentral:rRNA from 1 species
UACGUAGGGGGCAAGCGUUGUCCGGAAUCAUUGGGCGUAAGAGCGUGUAGGCGGCUCGAUAAGUCUGCUGUGAAAGUCCAGGGCUCAACCCUGGAAGGCCGGUGGAAACUGUCGGGCUAGAGUCCGGAAGAGGCGAGUGGAAUUCCCGGUGUAGCGGUGAAAUGCGCAGAUAUCGGGAGGAACACCAAUGGCGAAGGCAGCUCGCUGGGACGGUACUGACGCUGAGACGCGAAAGCGUGGGGAGCAAACAGG